AAUGUAUUGCCCUUUGGGAUCAGGAUCUGAUGAGGAAGUGAGAGAGGGGAUACCAAACAUAGGUGCAUACCAUUGCCCCAAUCCAAUGGACUAUGUCAUACAGGGAAGAACCCAUGGAGGUUGGGACAGAAAGAAAGCUGGUUUUGCUUCUGCUUUCUUCGAGCUACCAAAUUCUUUCAUCAGGUGUGGGUCAAGUUUCCUCAUUCUUGCUUGACUUCCCCUUUAGAGCACGAAAGGAUGGACUACGACUUAAGUAAGGGAGAGGACAACCCCUCUUUCUGGCUUACCUUCAACGAGUGAGUGCUAUUCCCAUUCCUUACUUUGGUUCGACCCUCUUUCCCGACAAGUUUGCUUGCUCACUAGUAGAGUAAAGUGAGAGCAGCUAGUUUAGAAGGAAGAGGACACCAGGGGCUAUUCGGCCUCACUUGUCGGAGACUGAAUUACCUAAUGUUAGCUCGCUUACUUGCUGAUCAAGAAAACAACCGGUCAUUUCCACUUACUCUAAGCAUAGAAGGAAGAAGAUGGAAAAAGUCACAUAACAAACAAAUUGUCGAAAGCCCUACUUUACUUAUAGGCUGACUUGGCUCAGGAAACAAGGAACUAUUCGGCUUGCAGGGCUGCUACUCUUUGAAAGACGAGGUCCAGUGGAAGAGGCAAAUCGGGCAAGUUGAGUACUCAAAUUCGACGCUUGCUUGACAUCUCUCUUUGAAUCUGAAACCUGACAUGACAUUGAUUCUGCCUCCAUUGCUGGAAAGGAUAAUGCUGGAUCUUUAGCUAGCUCAUAGGCGGAGGAAAGGUGUUAACAUAUAAGGAAUCG
rnacentral:lncRNA from 1 species